GUCCUCGUAUUGCUAGAGGCCCAGGCAGCUCGGUUCUCAACCGGGUGACGCGGGUUCGAAUCCCGCCGAGGACG
rnacentral:tRNA from 1 species